rnacentral:pre_miRNA from 1 species
CACUGGAGGCAGCGGUUCAUCGAUCUCUUCCUGGGGACACAAAAAAAAAAGAAAAAUAAAAUGGAAAAGCAUGAAUAGAUCGAUAAACCUCUGCAUCCAGUG